rfam:Picea glauca, whole genome shotgun sequence.
CUGUAUAGAAUGGAGCUCACUUCGGUCCAAAUGAGGCUUUCAUGAAGUUAGAUCUGCUGCCGACUCAUCCAUCCGGCUCUUCUAUGAAGGAAAUCAACGCCAUAGGCUAGCCGAAUGGUUGAUGCGGGAGCUGGUUUCUUCUACGUGUUACCCUCUCUUGGCCUGAAGGGAGCUCCAUUAUCUAUUUCU